UACAGAGGGUGCGAGCGUUGUUCGGAAUUACUGGGCGUAAAGCGCGCGCAGGCGGCUUCCUAAGUCCGUUGGUGAAAGACCGGGGCUCAACCCCGCGUCAGCCAUGGAUACUGGGAGGCUGGAGACAGGUAGAGGCAAGCGGAAUUCCGGGUGUAGCGGUGGAAUGCGUAGAGAUCCGGAAGAACACCGGAGGCGAAGGCGGCUUGCUGGACCUGGUCUGACGCUGAGGCGCGAAAGCGUGGGGAGCGAACAGG
rnacentral:rRNA from 1 species